ensembl:lncRNA
GUUCAAGGAAGCUGGAAGCAUACACAGGUAACACAGGAACACAUGAAGGAUAAGUUCUGUUCUGCUGGAUUGGAGAAGGCCAGAGAGGAAGGGAUCAUCAAUGGCCACUUUGGCAAAGGUCCCCAGGAACACACGUAUGGUUAAAGUUGGGUUAGUAACUUGCUACGAAAAAGGAGAACACACAUGACAGACAAGCAGGGAGUCUCUGGGUUCGGGGAGGCUUAGUACAGGAUCUUGGCUUGUGUUUGGUAAUUUGAGUGCAAGGAAAUAAGGGAUGUUUUCUGGAAUGGUGGUGCUAGAAAGUGGAGCAAUUUGACAACUAGCCAUCUUAAUACUUUUAAUCUAGGACGUAGGAGAAAUGGAACAGGGUUAGAGAGAUCACUGGAAAAGAAGCAAUAGAGACUCAUGUUAGCUUAGGGAGGGGAUGUUUGGUCAUUCUUGUGGUUGGACAGUGUCUUCGUUUUUAUCUCUGUUCAUGGAUGAUUAUGGAGUGAUAUUGUUUUUGUUUUCUUGGAGUUCUCCACUGAUGUUGAUACUCUGAAAUUGCUUUUUCAUUAGAGGAGUAUCACAGCCUAGCUGGUAGCAACUAGGCCAACUACUGGAUAAAAAUUCUUAGGGCUGCUUUUCUCAAAAUGCUUGACCUGGGAACAGGAGGAUGAGUAGGAGUUUUCCAGAUCAAAAGGGGAAGACAACUCCAGCAGAGAGGGGUGUAGCUGGAGAAGAGAGAGGAAGACAUCGCCUAUCACAAGAGGCUGAGGACACACUAUUGCCUUUGUGUUCCUUGGUAUCAUUUUCAAGUUUGGUGAACAGCUGUCAUCUUCAAAACUUAUCAAGGAAUAAAAAUCAAAAUGCUGCACAAGGUUGAGCAGUUGGAUUGUGGCACCACUACCACCCUCCAUGGUCAAGUGUAACCCCUUCCUCUGCCAUCUCUUUGGCUGGGGAAGCCUCACCUUGCAUGUUCAUGGGUUAGCAGCAGAAGGUGGAAGAGAGUUUCUUAGUUUCUAUUUUUAUUCCCUCUGCUUCCCUCUUAGUAUAGCUUUCACCUUUAUGGACUGUGCUCACCAGGGACCUUGUACACAUUAAUCAUAGGGGAAAUCUCUUUAUGUGUAUGUGUAACUGCCAUAAAAGGAAUGAAUCAAAAUUCAACUCUGUGCCUAGUUUUGGUAGCAUGUGACUCAUUUUCAUGGCCCUAGAACUAAAACGUGGUAGUUAAAACAGUAAAGUGAUAUUUAUAGGGUAAUUUUGAUCAAACCUGUCAUAACUUUCAUUUCUGGGUAAGUCUGUAUGUCCUUUGUUACAGCUCUAAUUACACUGACAGGUUUUUCAGAGGGAAUGUUAGGGUAGAGGUUAUUUAAAUAUGAAACCAAAGGUUUGACAUCAUUUAAGAGGGAAUGAUUUUUAUUUCCUAACAUAUAUUUUAAUGUAACAUAAACUUACUGGAUUAUUUCUCUUUCCUGAAUACUCCCAUUAUUUUUAUUUUAUUUUAUCAUUUAUUUUAUCAUUGAGGCAGAAGGAGAAUGAAUGGUGUUAGUCUCCCUUCCUCCUACCCAGACAUGGAACAGCCUUAAACAGUAUUGCUCGGUUCAGAUAUGAACUGAUGGUACACUGUUUAUCUAGCUCCCUGAUGGUGUCCCUCAUGAAACUCUAUAGCUGCAGGGCUUUCUCAGGUUACAAAUUUAGCAGCGCUCCUUUGGUGACUUUCCUCUUUCCACAUCACUCCAGGGAUCUCUAUUAACUUAACACACUAAAAAUAACACCGAAGAACUGCUGAACAGGGAAGGAGACCAGUAGGGCUGGGGGAAGGCUCAAUAUUGCUCACAUUGAUCAGAAACCUGGACCCUGCUCCCAUGACGCUUGCUGUUUGA